rnacentral:rRNA from 1 species
AUUGAACGCUGGCGGCAGGCCUAACACAUGAAGUCAAGCGGCAGCACAGAGAAACUUGUUUCUCGGGUGGCGAGCGGCGGACGGGUGAGUAAUGCCUGGGAAAUUGCCCUGAUGUGGGGGAUAACCAUUGGAAACGAUGGCUAAUACCGCAUGAUGCCUACGGGCCAAAGAGGGGGACCUUCGGGCCUCUCGCGUCAGGAUAUGCCCAGGUGGGAUUAGCUAGUUGGUGAGGUAAGGGCUCACCAAGGCGACGAUCCCUAGCUGGUCUGAGAGGAUGAUCAGCCACACUGGAACUGAGACACGGUCCAGACUCCUACGGGAGGCAGCAGUGGGGAAUAUUGCACAAUGGGCGCAAGCCUGAUGCAGCCAUGCCGCGUGUGUGAAGAAGGCCUUCGGGUUGUAAAGCACUUUCAGUUGCGAGGAAGGUGGUGUCGUUAAUAGCGGCAUCAUUUGACGUUAGCAACAGAAGAAGCACCGGCUAACUCCGUGCCAGCAGCCGCGGUAAUACGGAGGGUGCGAGCGUUAAUCGGAAUUACUGGGCGUAAAGCGCAUGCAGGUGGUUUGUUAAAGUCAGAUGUGAAAGCCCGGGGCUCAACCUCGGAACUGCAUUUGAAACUUGGCAGACUAGAGUACUGUAGAGGGGGGUAGAAAUUUCAGGUGUAGCGGUGAAAUGCGUAAAGAUCUGAAGGAAUACCGGUGGCGAAAGGCGGCCCCCUGGACAGAACUGACACUCAGAUGCGAAAGCGUGGGGAGCAAACAG